rnacentral:misc_RNA from 1 species
AGUCGGUCGACCGCGGCCGCGGGUCGUGUGUGAGGCGGUCGACGCUGGGACUGUGUUAGGCGUGUGGACAUACCAGUGGACGAGUGGAUAUCGGUAGUGCUUACUGUACGAAGUGAACAAAACAGAACACUGAACUGUACCGGGCUUAUCACUCCUGGGAUAGCGUAGUUAGGUGUGACAAACGCCGAGACGUGGAUAAAAACGAUUCGCCGGGGCUCAGUGAUAUGAUCAACAGCGGACCCAUCAUGGUCGUCUCGAUUCGGAUGCCACCCUUGUCAUUAUCAUCUUAAAGAAGAAGAUCUCCUCAGUCUACCUGCACUCCUGGAAGACUGGAAGGCGUCUUCCCUGCUCUCCCGGAUGUCGUCUUCCCUGCACCCCUGGAGGAUGAGCUUCCUGCGAGGGUGGGCGGCUCUCCUGACCGUCAGCCUGGCCGGCGUCACUGGUCGGGUACAGCAGAUCGACAUCACGGGCCUGGUCGGGGACUCGGUCAGACUGCCCUGUGAAAUCGACGAGGAAAAGUGCGGCGAGGUACACAACAUCCAGUGGUACCGCGGCGACGGAGACACUCGGGUCUUCAUCUACUCGGAGCUGGCCAAUGUUGACACCAGCGAGAACAUGCUUCAGGGCAGAGGCUUCUUUGAAUACAUCAAGGGAUCCCCAGUAUCGGAACUGCAGAUCCGUAACCUGAAGGCUGAUGACGAGAGCUUGUACAAGUGUGAGCUGACGUAUCUGGAGGUCCGCGACAACUGUGCCGUCAUUCAGUUCGUCAACCUCACCACCAUAGCCAAACCGAAGAAGGCCAGGAUUCUGCUGAAGGACGGCACGGAGGCCGGCUCUAUCAUUGGUCCGUUUGAAGAGGACGCCCAGCUGUACCUCAAGUGCGAGUCGGCUGGGGGCAAGCCGGCCGCCUCCGUCACCUGGUGGAACGACACCAUCAACAUGGGAGGUGUCGCGAGUUCUACUCUGUCCCCCGACGGCACUGCUGUGACCUCGAGCGAGCUGCGCACCACGCUGACCCGAUAUGACCUAGAAGCCAGCUUCGAGUGUCAGGUCAACAACGUGGCGCUGAAGAACCCCCUGCGGUCCAGGGUUUACGUCCUGCUGCAUGUGCGCCCGCUAUCCGUUCAGCUGACGGGUCUGAACGGACCCGUGCUGGCCGGCACCAAGGUCACGCUGGUCUGUGUGGCCAGGGGUGCCAAACCCCCCGCUAACAUCACCUGGUCGGGGUGGCCCGGCACCGGCCUGCCCAAAACGACCGUCUACACCCAGCCGGACGGCACUACUGACACGGUCAGCAGUCUGACCCUGACCGCCACUCGGUCAGCCCACCUGCGGACGGUGACCUGUGAAGCCUCCAACCACGUCACCAGGGUCAAGGCAGAGCCUCCACACAGGGCGGAGGUCGUCGUCAAGGUGCUAUACGCUCCGGUAACGACCGUCAGUCCAGCGGAGGCGGCCGCGAACGAAACGGACGACGUGUUACUGUUCUGCCGGUACGACUCGAACCCAGCCAACCUGACGACCGUCGCAUGGUACAAGGACGGAGUUCUGCUGGAUCUGUCAAAGACAGAAAAGUUUGGAGGCGGCACGCUGGAGAACCCGUCGCUGCUGAUAAAGAACACGUCUCGCCGGGACGCGGGACGGUACCGCUGUGAGGUGGCCAACGACGUCGGCGUCGGCAGGGCCGACAACGAGGCAGCAGUUCACGUCCAGUUUCCUCCGGAGGUCCGACUGAGCGUCACUCCCAGUGAAGUCAUCGAGGCUGACCGUAGUGACGUCACUCUAGUGUGUGACGUCACUGAGGGUGACCCUGCCGAGCUGCAGGCGGUCCGCUGGUACAGAGACGGAGAGCUGCUGGCAACGCCGGCGCCCUGUCAGAGGCUGGCUAUCGCUCCGGUCAGUGACCGGUCGGGCGGCGCGCCGUGUACCGACGGACCCUCCCGUCUGCUCCUCUCGGCGGUCAGCAGGGCCGACAUGGCCAACUACAGCUGCCAGGGACGCAGCCGGGCCGGCUGGGGACCCCGCUCCGUCCAACAACGUCUGCUGGUCCAGUAUCCGCCGCAGCGAACUAUUCUACUUCACAAGCCGGCGGUGGUACAGAAAGGUCAGCCGGUGACCUUGACCUGUGAGGUCGACGACCCCGGCUACCCUCCCGUCAACAAGUACCUGUGGAUGCGCGGCAGUCACGUGAUCACGGACAUCCGGACGCGCCAGUGGCGCAUCUGGUCGGCCUCUCUGGAGGAGGACGCGCGCUUCAGCUGCGUGGCGCUCAACGCGGUGGGCAGCAGCGCCGAGGGCACCGCGCUGGUCGACGUCCUCGCGAAGCCCCAGUUUAUCGAGCGCCUGCCGCUCUACCUGGGCGCUCUGAUGAACUCCUCCUCUAUCUCGGUCACGUGUCGGGUCGAGUGCUCUCCGCUCUGCAGUCUUCAGUGGCUCAGAAAUGACGAGGUAAUCAGUGCCAGUAACCCGCUGUACUCGAUCAAGACGAGCACGCUGGACCCCGACCCGCGCACCAACGACCUCGAGUCGGUGGUGUCAACUCUAACCUGGAACAUGUCCGCCUGGCCGGGUCAGAUGCUCGACCGGGUCAAGGACAACGCCAACUACACGUGCAGGAGCUCAUCGAAUGUGGUUGGACCGGGAGUCAGCAGCACGACAUUCUUCACAGUCGAGUACCCCCCUCGGAACGUGACGGUCGACCCGGCAGUGGUGAACGUGCGGGAGAGCUCCACCCCGGUGGCGGUGCGGUGCACCUCCAACGCCUUCCCAGAGGCCAGCUACGUCUGGACAAACGCAGACGGUGAUGUAGUCCAGAAAGGUGACCGUCUCCUCCUAGACCCCGAGGGCAGACUGCGCCGUUCCUCCGGCGGUAAAUACGUCUGUCACGCCCGGAACAAGCACGGCGUGCUCACGGCGACUGUGACCGUACUGCUGCAGUACAAGCCCCAGUGCGCGAUCCGUCAGACGGAGGAGGACGGGGAGUACCUGCUGCUCUGUGAGGUGGACGCCGUGCCCGACGACGUCACCUUCGGCUGGUUCUUCAACAACCAGACGCUCAAGGGCGACAUCCACACGGAGGGCACCGUCAGCACGCUGAUAGUGCGUCCGGGCAGCGGCGACUUCGGCACCUACUCGUGCCACGUCAACAACACGGUCGGCGCCGGCGUGCCCUGCGAACUCGACUUUACAGGUGUCGGGGACUGGCGGAUCGACUCGGACCAGAUCAGUGUCAUCAUGGUAGUGACGACGGUGGCGGCCACGGCGGUGACCGCUGCCAUCGCGUGCGGCGUGCUCUACCUGGUCUGCCGGCGGCGGAGGACCAAACACAACUACGGAGAACCAGGCCCGAUGCUGGAUAGAGACGCUUACUACCAGCGCGAGGCUCGUGCUCUCAUUGGUCCGUCUCUGCUGCCGGGACCACCGUCUAACCCUGACAUCGCCAAACUGCCAGUUCCGACGGUGACUAUUCCGAUCACGCGGUGAAACCCGUGCACAAAUGGCCCGUCCGACCCGGUGUGCACGUGCACGUCACCCACGUGCAGUCACUGAGCAAACUGAGCGUUUUCGGCCAACUGAAGACGGUAGAAACUGAUACACCAGCGAGUGACUCCAGCACCAAGUCGUCGACAAACGGGUCGGGGUGCAGCUCGUACGAAACGCGGCCCAUCCACGAGAGUCUGGCCAUGCACAAAACGCCGUCCAAGACAUUCGCAGCGCCCCCACCUCCGGGCGGUCGGCAGUUCUACACCUCCGGGCCUCCGGGGCAGCGGCAGCGCCACGCAGAGGUGGCGACAUCUAUACAAAACACGCGCGCCACCCCGCGGCGAGCGCAGACUGCACAUUUCGGCCGGCGAAGAGACGGAGACUCGAGCACGGCCGGUACGCCCGUGCACGACGCGUACGCCGUGCAAAGCGGCGUGCCCGGUUACGGUGCACCCAGCAGGGUGCAGAAAGACUAUGUGCCGAGUGAGUACGCCGUGUUGCAGUUUUCCGGUGCUAGCCAUGAGAUUGAUGUGUGACCAUGUGAUUUUAUGCUUUAUUUUGCGGGGUGUUUGGUAAGAAACUGACGUCCAGCGACUGUGACGAGACCAUAAUGACAGAUUGAUUCAUGAUUGCGAAUACGCGUGCUUCAGUGUAAACUUUGUCACAAUGAGAGGGUUUAGUGUCGAUGUGGUGUGCUGAUAAUGGCUGUAAUAGUUCUCUUUGUUGUUGCGUUGUGACGCAGGACGCUGCAUGAUCAUUGGGUCAAUGUGAAAUGAUACAGAUGAUAAAACUGGAAAAACAAGUAAAACACUU